rnacentral:lncRNA from 10 species
GUUACAUUCAUCCAGAUAUUUUCCAAGAUUGAAGAAACAAACGGCUGGGAAAGGAAUUAUCUAGAUUCCAGCACUAGAGAAAGCAGCAGCCCUAAAAGAUGUGUCAGGACAAGGAGCAAGGCCAUGUACAUUAGGGACUCUCACGUGCCCUCACCACUGCAGCAGCAUUUUAGUCCAGCUAAGCCCAUGGCCAGGCUGCAAGGCAGAAAUGUCAGUUUCAUUGCAGCAGCUCAGCUUCAGGCACAGAUCUCUAGAGGAUGUUUUAAGUGGACCUUUUUGUCUGGAAAAAGUGCCCUGGGAUGAUUUUUUUUUUUUUUUUUUUUGAUGAUUUACUUAGGUAGUUCCAGCAGUCUCUGCAGCUCUAGGAGGCAAUUAGUCAAAUGACGUCCCAAUCCUGCCACCAGCUAGUGUAUUUCAGUAGACAACUCUUUCUCAUCUAAUUCAGGUGGCAGUGGAGAAACUUCCCACUGUUUCUCCUUUGAACCCAGCUGGACACCACCCUGAAGUUCCAGUACAUGGAGAUAGCCAGUAAAUGAACAAUUGAUGACCUGUGUUGAAGAGAGAGGGCAUGUUGCCUAGGGUCCCCCUGCUUCUGGUAGGCAGCUGCAGAAGGUGAAGAUGCAGCACUGAGGAGGCAGGAGGAGGGCUGACCACCAGCUCCCGGCAUGUCCCCAGCACCAAGUGGCCCAGAGAGAGCCCAGGAUGCGCACGCAGGUGGAUGCUCCGCGUGCUGCCCUAGCGGGUGCCUCAGGACCCUUUGACAUUUCAGUACCAGAAAUCAAAUGUCGCUUCAGAAGCCCGGCCCUCCAAAGAUGUCACAAUCCAACCUCCCACACGCACAGGAGAACAGCGCGUUUGGAGGGAUGAAGUAACUCACCAAGGUCACGCAGUCCUGCAGAGCCAGGAUCCCAACCCAGGAAGUCCUCAGAGCCGGCCCUCGCCACCGACUCCCUGGAGGUAUGUCCAUUUCACUCAAAUACCCAACAGAUUGAGGGUUUAAAUGUAAUAUGCCCAUUUUUUGAGACGUCCGUUCUGUUCAGAGUUUGAUAUCUUAUUUUAUAAAGUGGAGGUGAUCGUGGAGCCAGUCUCAGGGCUGGGUGUUGUGGGGGCGUGGAUGAGGUGAGGCGGGUGAACACGGUAUUUGCGCUCAGUAAUUGCUGGGCUGCCUGUAACUCUAAGCAGAGUCGAAUGUCAUUCUGGAGGGGAAAUUAAAGAUGAUCUAAGCAGAAGGCAUUUCGUUUAUUAUUAUUAUUAUUGCUAAUCAUCAUCAGCAGCUGUAGUGGCCAGACAGCCUUGGGUCAGUGUCAUGGGGAAGCUUGUGAAGAAAUAGAGCAAGGCUGCUGCAGGUGCGGCAGAGGUGUUCCGCCCCGGAGGACCCUUGCUCGCCCUCCUCUUUGUGUGUCUGCUCCUGCUGCGGAGGAAUUGGGGCUCCUAGGGUGGAGACACCGGCCUCUCCCCUAGGCCUGGGCCUCUGGGUCUUCCCCAGGCUGCUGCUGCCCUCUGCUGGUCAUAGCUGGAAUUAAUGGACAUUGCCUCCCAGGGAUGCAGGAAGCCCGGAGAUUCGGGAGAGGAGGAGGGUUCCCCUGAGGCUUCCUCUGUCGUUGUAGUGUGGGCAAUGGCCACAUGACUUGUUAGGAGCUGAAGGAAGACACCACUUUAUGUGGGGGACUGGCUGCCCCCAAGAGCAAUGCAACACACAGGGUUGCCUUGGACGCUUGGCCCGGGUAGAGAGGAGGAGGGAGGUCUAACGAAGAGCAGGGAGGCUGAGGACAACCUCACUAUCACCUGUAAGUGACACACCUAUCCCCCUGAGAGGCAUCAAUUAUUGCUGUAGUCUUCAGAGACUGCCACUCAGAAUGGUAAAAUAAUUUCUUAUUCCAUUGCGGUCAAGACCUUAGACUAUGGGGUCAAAUUGUAUGCAUUUGAGACUCAGACCUUGUGUGACCUUGGGUAAGUUACUUAACUUUCAGAGCACACUCUUCUCACUGAGAACUGGGGAUGCUGCAGGGCAUACAGAGGUGACUGAGAGGACUCCAUGAGCUACGAUGCAGGCAGGAGGCCAGCACGUGCCUGGCAGGGGGCAAAGCUGAAGACCACCGAGCAAAGGCAACUGCUGCCCAAGACACACCUGGCAAGCGGUGGCAGGGACUGGAACCUGGCCUGGCUGCCUCCUCCUACUAAGGGUGGAUCUCCUUGAGCAGGCUGUUGAGGCUUGGGCUAAGGUCAGAGGUGGGGUUGUCCUUCUCUGAAAUGCAGACUAUCAAUCUGGCAAUGCCAGGCCCUCUUGCUGGCAUCUCAAACCUUGCUUAAAAUCCAGGCCUUG